CUAGCUGUAAACGGUGCGCACUUGCUGUAAGAGGAUUCGAACCCUUUUGUGGCGAAGUUAACACGUUAAGUGCGCCGCCUGGGGAGUACGGUCGCAAGACUAAAACUCAAAGAAAUUGACGGGGGCCUGCACAAGCGGUGGAGUAUGUGGCUUAAUUCGAUGCAACGCGAAGAACCUUACCUAGCCUUGACAUGUACAUAGUAGAAGCCUGAAAGGGUAACGAGGUAGCAAUACCAGUGUACACAGGUGC
rnacentral:rRNA from 1 species